AGCUCCGGCCACCGCACCGCUUGGCUCUCGUAUUCCUUAUUCUCGGUAGGCUCUGUGGGCUCUGCGCCGUGGCCAUUAGUCAUGUCAGAUUCUGGAAGUUAUGGUCAGUCUGGGGGUGAGCAGCAAAGUUAUUCUUCUUAUGGAAAUCAAGGCAACCAAGGCUGUGGACAAGCACCACAAAACUAUUCUGGCUAUGGGCAAACAACAGAUUCCUCAUAUGGACAGAACUACAGUGGUUACUCCAGUUAUGGACAAAGCCAGUCAGGUUAUUCACAGUCCUACGGUGCUUAUGAGAAUCAAAAGCAGAGCUCAUAUGGCCAGCAAUCAUAUAAUAACCAGGGACAACAAAACAUGGAAUCAUCAGGAGCCCAAGGUGGAAGAGCACCUUCCUAUGAACAGUCAGACUAUGGUCAACAAGAUUCAUAUGCCAACAGUCAGGCUAUGAUCGACAUCAAGGCUCAUAUGACGAGCAGUCAAAUUAUGAUCAGCAGCAUGAUUCCUAUAAUCAAAACCGGCAGUCCUAUCAUUCACAAAGGGAAAAUUACAGCCACCAUACACAAGAUGACCGUCGUGAUGUGAGUAGGUAUGGAGAAGAUAUGGUGGGUCACAGGGAGGAGGUAGAGGGCGUGGGGGAUAUGACAAGGAUGGAAGAGAUCCUAUGACAGGAUCAAGUGGUGGUGACCACGAUGGCUUCAAAAAUUUUGGUGGUCACAGGGAUUACGGACCCAGACCAGAUGCUGACUCAGAAUCCGAUAAUUCAGAUAACAACACAAUCUUUGUGCAAGGACUUGGGGAGGGUGUGUCUACAGAUCAAGUGGGGAAGUUCUUUAAGCAAAUAGGAAUUAUCCAGACAAACAAGAAGACCAGAAAACCAAUGAUAAAUCUUUACACAGACAAGGACACUGGGAAGCCAAAAGGGGAGGCGACAGUGUCAUUUGAUGACCCUCCUUUAGCUAAGGCAGCCAUUGACUGGUUUGAUGGAAAAGAAUUCCAUGGCAACAUCAUUAAAAUGUCCUUUGACACCAGAAGACCUGAAUUUAUGAGAGGAGGUGGAAGUGGAGGUGGGUGACGAGGCCGUGGAGCUUUUCAGGGCAGAGGUGGAGACCCCAAAAGUGGAGACUGGGUUUGUCCUAAUCCGUCAUGUGAAAAUAUGAACUUUGCUCGAAGGAAUUCCUGCAAUCAGUGCAAUGAGCCUAGACCAGAGGACUCUCGUCCCUUAGGUGGAGAUUUCCGAGGGAGAGGCUACGGUGGAGAGAGGGGCUACAGAGGUCGUGGGGGCAGAGGUGGAGACCGAGGUGGCUAUGGUGGAGACAGAAGCAGCGGUGGUGGCUACAGUGGAGAUAGAAGUGGGGGUGGCUAUGGUGGAGACAGAAAUGGGAGUGGCUAUGCUGGGGAUAGAGGUGUCGGUUAUGGUGGGGACAGAGGUGGCGGCUAUAGAGGGGAUCGAGUUGGCUAUGGUGGAGACCGAGGAGGAGGCUAUGGUGGAGAUUGAAAUCGGGGAGGCUACGGUGGAGACCGAAGUGGAGGCUGUGGAGGAGAUAGGAAUGGUGGUGGCUCUGGAGGCAAAAUGGGAGGAAGAAACGACUACAGAAAUGAUCAGCGCAACCGACCACACUGAUAACUGUUUUGAAUGUUCCUUUCUCUCUGACAUGAUCCAUAGUGAAAUUGCCAGCGUUUUGCCUGCUGCUUUCCUCGUGGCCUUUCUUGGGUAGUGAAAUUAAGUGACAUUUGGAUUUUUAUUUGGGUGGGAGGGCUGGGACAGUUUUUCUUUUAGAAAUGUCCUUUGAAAUUUUCCCUUUUAGUUUCCAUCCUUUUCCUCCCCAACCCUCAAAGUUAAAUGCGUUGUAAAAUAUUGCCAAAAUGAGAAAUAUUUUGUAACA